rnacentral:lncRNA from 1 species
CGAGAAACGAAAGAAAAACUGACAUCGACGAAAUCAGAUGAGAUCUUUUGAAUAUCUUUCACAAUACCAUAGAUCUCAGGGUUCUGGGUGUCGUUGUUGAUUGCUUUUAUAAGCGUUAGGUUGUCAGACAGCAUCUGGAGGUCCGUGACUCCCAUCGCUGCUGCAGAGAUGAUUCCUGACCGGAGGGCUAAAGCUUCUUCGAUCAGCGGACUGGAGACAAAGUCUUGUGUUGUGGCUCCCCUGUGAUUGCAGCUUCCGGAUAUAUUUGUGAAGAUCCAAGCUAGCCCUGCUUUGUUCCGGCUUUUGUCCCAUGCUGCGUCCGAUUUGCAGAUCACUCUCAUGGAGCUGACGGGUUUAUGGUUAGAUCUGCAUCCGAUGUGUGGCUUCUCUGUGCAUCUAGGCUUUUGAGUUUUCAAUCCUUGUGCAAAGCUCCAUUCCUGCGCUGAUCGAAGUGCCCUCGCCGCCGUUUCCUCUGGUGUAUUGUGUUGAUCCUCAAAGAUUAGUGUGUUGCGGGCAGUCCACACCGUCCAACAAACCCAUGGUAGGAUGUUCCCUGUGAUUCCCGAUGGUGGCAAGCAGACCGCUUUCCUAAAUCUGGUAAUGGCAUCUUUGAAGCUCCUGUCAGUUGCGAUUACAAUUUCUCUCUGCAGUGGGAUUAAAUCCCAAACCCCUUGUGCAAAGGGGCAGAAGAAGAAUGUGUGCAUAGCCGUUUCAACUUCUUUGCAUCUCAUACAAACAGCUUCUGAGUUAAUUCCUCUGUGUUGCAGAUUGACUCCCAAUGGUAGGGCGUUCUGUGCAAUCGACCAGAGGAACAUUUGCAUUUUAGGGGAGAAGCUACCUGUCCAUAUGUCUUUGAUCCAGUCAAAGCCAUUAUGGUCUGAUGGCUCGGGGGUUGCAUCAUUCAUAGAAACUGUGAAGUAUCCCGACUUGAAAGAAUAUUUCCCUGACUUUGACGCUUGCCAGAUGAAAGUGUCUGAUGCUCCUGUCUCACUUGGCCUAAUGCAUUUGACUCUGUCUGCCACCAGAGGUAUGAACUCCUGUAGUCUUGAUUCAUUCCACUUCAUUUCGGAUGUUAGUAGAUCAGAAACGCGCAGAUCAAUUCCUGACUCUGGUAUGGGUCCAUAGAUCUUUAUGUUUUCUUGUAGCGCUAGCCAUGAGUCAUUCCACACUUUAGUAUCCUCGCCAUUACCUAUAGCCUUU